rnacentral:lncRNA from 1 species
UCUAUAUUGUUAACCUGUAUUUAUUAAAAAGAAUAUUUUAAAAUCAAGCCAGAUGACACACCUGUUUAUAUGAUAGGGUUGUGAUAUAACAUAGUAAGGACGGGAUUAGAAUUUCUAACCUUUCAUGAGAAAUGCUCAAAAGCAUUAUUUUUGACCUUUAAAAUAGAGAAGGUUGUAUACCCCACAAUAUACAGUAGUAUUAGAACGUUUAUUUUCACCCAUAUGUCCUAAGGUAAUGCAUAUUUUUUUCAAUGAGCAUGUUUUGUUAACAUUGUUGGUUCUCACAGACACCUGUUUGCUUAGUGGAUGAGGAAGAUAUACCCUGUUGGAUACAACAGAGCGUAUAAUGGUAACCUGUGGUAAUGAGGCACCUCCCUCCAGGACACUUACCUGUGAAUUCAUCCUCACUUUGGUCAUAGACAAACCGCGGCUUCUGUCAGUGUUGGCAGGUGAACACUUGCACACACCAACGCACACACACACGACACUCUCCCAUACCUCUGGCACUUUAGCUUUAAACUUCACGAUCAUGUUGAAGUUAUGGUCUCAGGCAUAAUAAUCUGACAUUGAGGUGAUUUUGCUUAAAAAAAUUGUUUUGGGUCCUAUGCUUCCAUCAGAGGAGAGAGCAUUAAUCACACUCUUCAGCAAAUAGGACGAGUGCAUUUAUUUGGCUCCAGCGUGGACGAGAGAGUGGGAAGAGAGCAGCU